UACGGAGGGUGCAAGCGUUAUCCGGAUUCACUGGGUUUAAAGGGCGCGUAGGCGGCCUUCUAAGACAGACGUGAAAUCCCCAGGCUUAACUUGGGAACUGCGUCUGAUACUGGGAGGCUUGAAUGCGGGAGAGGGAUGUGGAAUUCCAGGUGUAGCGGUGAAAUGCGUAGAUAUCUGGAGGAACACCGGUGGCGAAGGCGGCAUCCUGGACCGACAUUGACGCUGAGGCGCGAAGGCGUGGGGAGCAAACAGG
rnacentral:rRNA from 1 species